CGAGCCAGAAAGAUAGGUCUGUGAGAGGAGUCAGGCUAGAGGUGGCAGAACUGAGCCAAGCUACCUCACAAGGUCUGGGAAAAGAUCCAGGGGUUGUGGAGCUGGAACCAGCAGCAUCACACCAGGAAACUCGUACUAGAUGGAGAGGAGGAAGAUGCUAGUGCUGAGAGAGCAGCAGGGAAAUGGAAUCGCCUUCUUGGGAUUAGAGAAGAGACCCUAGGACCAAAGGGAAACAAGGGGGGAAAUCUGCAGCUACUGACUGGAAAGCCACCAAAACUACAGACAGCAUCGCUA